rnacentral:rRNA from 1 species
CGGAGGGUGCAAGCGUUGUCCGGAUUUAUUGGGUUUAAAGGGUGCGUAGGCGGCUUUUUAAGUCAGUGGUGAAAUCCUCCAGCUUAACUGGAGUCGUGCCAUUGAUACUGGGAAGCUUGAGUACAGGCGAGGUUGGCGGAAUUGAAGGUGUAGCGGUGAAAUGCAUAGAUAUCUUCAAGAACACCGAUUGCGAAGGCAGCUAACUAGACUGUAACUGACGCUGAGGCACGAAAGUGUGGGGAUCGAACAGGAUUAGAUACCCUGGUAGUCCACACUGUAAACGAUGAUCACUCGAUGUGUGCGAUAUACAGUACGCGUCCAAGCAAAAGCGUUAAGUGAUCCACCUGGGGAGUACGCCCGCAAGGGUG